UCGCUUUGGGGCAAAAAACCCCAUUUUGGGGUCCAGAAAAAAUCUAUUCUCAUCCCCAUCCUUUUUGGGGCAAAAAUCCCCAUUUUUGGGUCCAGAAAAACCCCAUUCCCAUUCCUGUCCUUUUUGGGGCCAAAAAACCCCAUUUUUAGGGCCAAAAAAACCCCAUUCUCCCCCCCGUCCUUUUUGGGCCCCAAAACCCCAUUUUUAGGGCAAAAAACCCCAUUUUUGGGUCCAGAAAAAAACCCCAUUUUUAGGGCAAAAAACCCCAUUUUUGGGUCCAGAAAAACCCCAUUCUCACCCCUCUCCCUUUUGGGGCAGAAAACCCCAUUUUCAAUCCCCCAAACCCCCAUUUUUCCCCACAAAACCCCCAGUUUUGGGGCCAAAAAAACCCCACUUUUGGGUCCAGAAAAACCCCAUUCUCCCCCGUGUUCCUUUUUGGGGCAGAAAACCCCAUUUUUAGGGCAAAAAACCCCAUUUUUAGGGUCAAAAACCCCCAUUCUCACUCCUGUCCAUUUUGGGGCAGAAAACCCCAUUUUUAGGUCCCUUAAAACCCCAUUUUUGGGUCCAGAAAAACCCCAUUCUCCCCCCGCGUCCAUUUUGGGGCAGAAAACCCCAUUUUCAAGCCCCCAAACCCCCAUUUUCCCCACAAAACCCCCAUUUUUGGUGCCCCUCCCCCUUCCUUCCCCCCCCCACCCCCAAAUUUCCCCAAAUCCCCCCUUUUUCACCCCAAAAACCACA
rnacentral:lncRNA from 1 species